CACAAUGCUUUGGGCUUGUUCCUGUCUCACUACAGUAGCCCCGCCCCCGCCCCUCCCACAAUGCUUUGGGCUUGUUCCUGUCUCACUACAGUAGCCCCGCCUCCGCCCCUCCCACAAUGCUUUGGGCUUGUUCCUGUCUCACUACAGUAGCCCCCCGCCCUUCCCACAAUGCUUUGGGCUUGUUCCUGUCUCACUACAGUAGCCCCGCCCCCGCCCCUCCCACAAUGCUUUGGGCUUGUUCCUGUCUCACUACAGUAGCCCCGCCCCCGCCCCUCCCACAAUGCUUUGGGCUUGUUCCUGUCUCACUACAGUAGCCCCGCCCCCGCCCCUCCCACAAUGCUUUGGGCUUGUUCCUGUCUCACUACAAAAACAACCGUUCAAAUGUUACAGGAAGUCUUGGGUUUUUUUCCCUCUAAAUGGAUGAGUCUCCGGACAGAAAACCUGACUGUGUUUCAGGAUUGAAAUAUUCAGAUGUUUUGGUGUCGUAAACAUCCUGAUGUAUCGUAUUGAAGAGAUAUAAACAGUGUGAUGGACAUUUAACUGAACAUUAAGGACAAUAGCAAGGAAAACGCUGUCAUGACUUCACUAUUUCUGAUCACGUGUUCACUACCGGGAGUUGAAUUGAGUACCGGUGUCUGUAGCUGUGUGUGUAUACCGGUGUGUGUAGCGGUGUGUGUAUACCGGUGUGUGUAUACCGGUGUGGGUAUACUGGUGUGGGUACCUGUGUGUCUACCUGUGUGUCUACCUGUGUGUCUACCUGUGUGUCUACCUGUGUGGUACCUGUGUGUGUACCUUUGUGUGUACCUGUGUGUCUACCUGUGUGUGUACCUGUGUGUGUACCUGUGUGUAUAGAGGUGUGUAUACCUGUGUGUAUACCUGUGUGUAUUGAGGUGUGUAUACCUGUGUGUAUUGAGGUGUGUAUACCUGUGUGUCUACCUGUGUGUAUUGAGGUGUGUAUACCUGUGUGUAUACCUGUGUGUAUUGAGGUGUGUAUACCUGUGUGUGUACCUGUGUGUAUUGAGUUGUGUAUUGAGGUGUGUAUACCUGUGUGUCUACCUGUGUGUAUUGAGUUGUUAAUACCUGUGUGUAUAUGAAGUAUGUUUGUUCUAGGUGAAGCGUACUGCAUGUUGUUUACACAUUCACUAUUUCCUGUAGAUAUAUGUACUCCACGGUUGUGUCCCAAAUCACACCCUAUUCCCUAUAUACAGUAGUUCCACGGUUCUGUCCCAAAUCACACCCUAUUCCCUAUAUACAGUAGUUCCACGGCUGUGUCCCAAAUCACACCCUAUUCCCUAUAUACAGUAGUUCUACGGCUUUGUCCCAAAUCACACCCUAUUCCCUAUAUACAGUAGUUCCACGGCUGUGUCCCAAAUCACACCCUAUUCCCUACACUGCUGUGUCCCAAAUCACACCCUAUUCCCUAUAUACAGUAGUUCUACGGCUCUGUCCCAAAUCACACCCUAUUCCCUAUAUACAGUAGUUCUACGGCUUUGUCCCAAAUCACACCCUAUUCCCUAUAUACAGUAGUUCUACGGCUGUGUCCCAAAUCACACCCUAUUCCCUAUAUACAGUAGUUCUACGGCUUUGUCCCAAAUCACACCCUAUUCCCUAUAUACAGUAGUUCUACGGCUGUGUCCCAAAUCACACCCUAUUCCCUAUAUACAGUAGUUCUACGGCUGUGUCCCAAAUCACACCCUAUUCCCUAUAUACAGUAGUUCUACGGCUGUGUCCCAAAUCACACCCUAUUCCCUAUAUACAGUAGUUCUACGGCUUUGUCCCAAAUCACACCCUAUUCCCUAUAUACAGUAGUUCCACGCCAGUGUCCCAAAUCACACCCUAUUCCCUAUAUACAGUAGUUCCACGCCAGUGUCCCAAAUCACACCCUAUUCCCUAUAUACAGUAGUUCCACGGCUCUGUCCCAAAUCACACCCUAUUCCCUAUAUACAGUAGUUCCACGACAGUGUCCCAUAUCGCACCCUAUUCCCUAUAUACAGUAGUACACUACUUUUGACUAGAGCCCACAUUAAACCCCUCUUCCUCCUCUUCUUCCUCUCUGAAUGUUUUCUCCUUAUUAAACCCUCUUCCUCCUCUUCCUCCUCUCUGAAUGUUUUCUCCUUAUUAAACCCUCUUCCUCCUCUCUGAAUGUUUUCUCCUUAUUAAACCCUCUUCCUCCUCUUCUUCCUCUCUGAAUGUUUUCUCCUUAUUAAACCCCUCUUCCUCCUCUCUGAAUGUUUUCUCCUUAUUAAACCCCUCUUCCUCCUCUUCUUCCUCUCUGAAUGUUUUCUCCUUAUUAAACCCUCUUCCUCCUCUUCUUCCUCUCUGAAUGUUUUCUCCUUAUUAAACCCUCUUCCUCCUCUCUGAAUGUUUUCUCCUUAUUAAACCCUCUUCCUCCUCUUCCUCCUCUCUGAAUGUUUUCUCCUUAUUAAACCCUCUUCCUCCUCUUCCUCCUCUCUGAAUGUUUUCUCCUUAUUAAACCCUCUUCCUCCUCUCUGAAUGUUUUCUCCUUAUUAAACCCUCUUCCUCCUCUUCUUCCUCUCUGAAUGUUUUCUCCUUAUUAAACCCUCUUCCUCCUCUUCCUCCUCUCUGAAUGUUUUCUCCUUAUUAAACCCUCUUCCUCCUCUUCUUCCUCUCUGAAUGUUUUUUCCUUAUUAAACCUCUUCCUCCUCUUCUUCCUCUCUGAAUGUUUUCUCCUUAUUAAACCCCUCUUCCUCCUCUCUGAAUGUUUUCUCCUUAUUAACCCCCUCUUCCUCCUCUCUGAAUGUUUUCUCCUUAUUAAACCCUCUUCCUCCUCUUCCUCCUCUCUGAAUGUUUUCUCCUUAUUAAACCCUCUUCCUCCUCUCUGAAUGUUUUCUCCUUAUUAAACCCUCUUCCUCCUCUCUGAAUGUUUUCUCCUUAUUAAACCCUCUUCCUCCUCUCUGAAUGUUUUCUCCUUAUUAACCCCCUCUUCCUCCUCUCUGAAUGUUUUCUCCUUAUUAAACCCUCUUCCUCCUCUUCUUCCUCUCUGAAUGUUUUCUCCUUAUUAAACCCUCUUCCUCCUCUCUGAAUGUUUUCUCCUUAUUAAACCCUCUUCCUCCUCUUCCUCCUCUCUGAAUGUUUUCUCCUUAUUAAACCCUCUUCCUCCUCUCUGAAUGUUUUCUCCUUAUUAAACCCUCUUCCUCCUCUCUGAAUGUUUUCUCCUUAUUAAACCCCCUCUUCCUCCUCUUCCUCCUCUCUGAAUGUUUUCUCCUUAUUAAAACCCUGUUUGAAAUGUAUUUGAACCUUCUGGUAAAGAUAACCUGUUCUUGUACGACACAGUGUUCUGCCUGCUGUUACAAUGUUUUUAAAUAGAGAAUUAAAGUGGACUUUCUAUUGUUGCGAUCUAAGCUGAGGACACGAUGGCCGUGUUAUGGAACCAUGUGUGUGUCUGUGUGGACACAGGAGCGACGGCAAACUGUAACUAAAUGCUCAAAUGGUUGUAAUAAUGCCUAAUUGAGAUCUUAUUUUAAUAGUGUUUUAUCGUGUUUCCCAACUGAAUAAAAAAAAACAUCUUCAAGCAAA